rnacentral:rRNA from 1 species
UACGUAGGGGGCAAGCGUUGUCCGGAAUCAUUGGGCGUAAAGAGCGUGUAGGCGGCCCGCUAAGUCCGCUGUGAAAGUCCAGGGCUCAACCCUGGAAUGCCGGUGGAUACUGUCGGGCUCGAAUCCGGAAGAGGUGAGUGGAAUUCCUGGUGUAGCGGUGAAAUGCGCAGAUAUCAGGAGGAACACCAAUGGCGAAGGCAGCUCACUGGGACGGUAUUGACGCUGAGACGCGAAAGCGUGGGGAGCGAACAGG